CGUCAAGCCUUGUGACGAAACGGAAUCGGACUUCUUCAAGGCGCGGAUCCUAAAGUUGUUUGGUAAGUUCUAGUCUCCACACGCGUUGUGCCCAGUCUAGUGACCAUCUCCUUUAAGUUAAAAAUUGCAGCUUUAAGCACAAUAUGUGGGAGUAACUCUCGGCGCCGGUUGUUUCAGGAUCGCAGAGUGACGCGGAGACCCAGUGACAGUAGGCGGGUGCUAGUACCUCCGACGAGAUGAGUGACUGCCCGGGGGGGUUGGAGGAAGCUUGUAUGAGACAGGUAAUUAUAAUUUCAUUUUCGCGCUUGCGAAGCAAUUCAUAAGACGUAUUUUAAAUUUGAGAUUUUCUUUAGUUAUGCCGCCACAAGUACAAGGAAUUUCAUUGAUAGGGGUGCCAUGUGUUUGUUUUCAUAUGGCCAGAAACUAGGUAAAGGUUAUGUGUUUUAACAUUUUUUCUGUGCUGAUAGGCUUAAGGUUUAAAUGAAUUAUAUCUGUCAAGGCGUGGCGCAGUCUGUGUCUAUUUGGAGAAGAGGUAUGUGUGUGUGUGUGUGUGUGUGCGUGCGUGCGUGCGUGCGUGCGUGUUCGUUUGUUUGUUUGUUCGUUGGGGGAGAGAGAGGAGAUGAAGAAGAGGAGGAGGGUGAGGGAUCAGGUCGAAUCAUUCAAAUCGUUAACUCUGACAGUAAUGAGGUAAGAAGGAUACCUGCUAGUUACACCGGUUGGGUUUUGUGCCAAACUCAAAUUGCGUUUUGCCGCGUAAAUAUUGCUACAAUUUUUUUUUUCAUCAACAAAAUUAAUUUUGAGGCAUGCCGUUGACAAAUAGGACCCCUGUUUUCAAUCCCAGUCCAGGUUAUUUGCGACUCCAGCGAACUAUAGAUGGCGCGCUGCUCAGGCAAAAUUCGGACGAAAGAAGGUCGUUUUCGUUGUUCAGCAUGCGGACCAUCACAAAUUCCUGCACUGCAGCGUAAAAUCGGUGUUACAUUUGAAUGCAAAGCGAUUUUUCGACCCUAGAAACGUUCGUCUACUCAGUGCGUAGGAAGGACCCGGUGGAAUCAUUAAAAUGAUUACUGGAAACAAUGUUUGUUUCUAUGCUGCCUACGAGAACCAAGCAGCGAUAGCAGACGACAGAGUCGGGACAACCUCCUCUCCUGAGCUUCUCGGCGCUGCCGCUACGCGGCGUCGAUUUCGCUGGAGUCACGAAUAUUGCGCUGGUAAAUUUCCUGUACAUAGUGCUGCUUCAAAGAUGAACUGAAGUUUAUGUCUUCUAUGUGUGCAUUGGCAAUGGCAUGUGGCUCAACAAGACUUCACACACGAAAGUUCUCAAAUAGAAGAGGGAAUCAAUGUUCAUCCGGUAAGGUUUGGUAAUUAUCUCCGCCACAGAUGGCCCCCUUGGCGAAUUGUAACCGGCAGACCUUCAAACCGCACAAAGGCUAAGCAAAGCAACAACUGGAUGCAGCAAGACUAAAAGCUUUAUAAUAUACUGUAAGGACUAUGGCUUUAUAAUAAGCCUUUUAUAGCAAAACAUACUGAUCUGAAAAGCGUUGUUUGUGGUUAUUUUAAAGUGGUAUACGGAAACUUCGUCGUAUUGUAUUAAUUCUGAUUCACUGCACAGUUAAAAGGUUUGUCUUCGUUUGCUGCCAGAGAAAUAUAGCUUGCGAUGAACUAAAUCAAAGUUAUGACUGCUGGUGUCAUGUACAUAUUCAGAACUUUUUUUUAUUAAAAUAAUUGUAAUCAAGUGUUUUUAUGGGUUUUAGCACUGUGAUUAAGAUACGUCAAUGUGUUUUCUAAGAAAGACUACUAAUUUGCAGUUUGUAUCUUCUCCUAAAAUAUUUUGUAGAUCUGAGCAUGUAUUCAUACCUGAAUAUGUGCCAGGCAUUCCCCAGUAUGUGUAUAAUUGUUUACUAGGCCUGUAAGCUUCCCCACUACAUCAUUGCCGCUAUGUUAGCGCUUCCCAGCUAUUAUUCGAGAGAGAUAAGUGUUUCUCAUGAUCAAUUAGGUUGAGAUUGUUUAGCGUUAAUGUUUUUGAGUCCCCCAUUUUUAAUUCCUGACAGAGCGCUUCAAUGUCCGUUUAUUUUUGGUUUGCCGCUAUUUAUCACCACAAGCAAAAACAUCACGCCACUGGGAUUAACCUGAAGCUCACCUCAUGAUUAACGACGCUGCCGUCCACUGUCUUAAGCUGGCCCGAGCCCGAACCAGGCCAAUCAACGUGCUGGCCUGAACCAGGCCAAUCAACGUGCUGGCCCGAGCCCGGCCCGGGCCCACAGUCAAAAGUCCGAGCCCAUCCCAGGCCUGGGCUUUCGGCUCAUCAAAGUCUGGGGAUCUGGUUAUGCUUCCUGUACGAGACAGAUCACGAAGCGGUUGCUGACUGACCAGUUGGGGCGAAAAUUUUUGUAAGAAGGACGUAAGAGAAAGUUGACAUUCAGGAACCUUCACCUUGCUGAGUGCAUCAUAAAUGCAGUGCAGAGCUGCCAUAAAUGUGAAGACUUCAAGGUAGAAACCAUGGUCACGGAUUACCUUUGCCACGCACCUGCCUGACAUCAGUCAUCUCAAAUGGUAAGCUGGUCUUAUUAAGCUGAUGUUAGCACAAAAAUCAAACUUUUCUAGAACAGUAAGUAUGGUGUGCAAUUUCUUCAAAGCAUAAUUUCUAUAUAAGAGUAUUUGAAUGCUUUAAUUAUUAAAGCC
rnacentral:lncRNA from 1 species